GGAGAGAUGCCUGAGCUGGCUCAAAGGAAUACCUUGCUAAGGUGUCGACUACUAAGUAGUCCGAGGGCUCGAAUCCCUCUCUCUCUA
rnacentral:tRNA from 1 species